UACUCCUACGGGAGGCAGCAGUAGGGAAUCUUCCGCAAUGGGCGAAAGCCUGACGGAGCAACGCCGCGUGAGUGAUGAAGGUCUUCGGAUCGUAAAACUCUGUUAUUAGGGAAGAACAUAUGUGUAAGUAACUGUGCACAUCUUGACGGUACCUAAUCAGAAAGCCACGGCUAACUACGUGCCAGCAGCCGCGGUAAUACGUAGGUGGCAAGCGUUAUCCGGAAUUAUUGGGCGUAAAGCGCGCGUAGGCGGUUUUUAAGUCUGAUGUGAAAGCCCACGGCUCAACCGUGGAGGGUCAUUGGAAACUGGAAAACUUGAGUGCAGAAGAGGAAAGUGGAAUUCCAUGUGUAGCGGUGAAAUGCGCAGAGAUAUGGAGGAACACCAGUGGCGAAGGCGACUUUCUGGUCUGUAACUGACGCUGAUGUGCGAAAGCGUGGGGAUCAAACAGGAUUAGAUACCCUGGUAGUCCACGCCGUAAACGAUGAGUGCUAAGUGUUAGGGGGUUUCCGCCCCUUAGUGCUGCAGCUAACGCAUUAAGCACUCCGCCUGGGGAGUACGACCGCAAGGUUGAAACUCAAAGGAAUUGACGGA
rnacentral:rRNA from 1 species